rnacentral:rRNA from 1 species
AUCGAUCACCUUUUGCCCCUCGUAUUUCGUGCGCGGGACGAAUCGAAAGGCCGCCCUCGCGUCCCACGCCUCCCUCUCUUCGUCGUGUGAUGUCGUGGUCCGCGAGUGGCAGCUCGGAUUCUCGAAUGUGGUAGACGCAGUGGGCAUGGGGCCUUCAUCGUCUCCUAUCUGCCCCGUACGACGCUCCUUGCAAAUGUCGGUCACGCUCGCCUUGAAUCCGUCUGCGCCCUCACGGGCUGGCCGGGCUCAUGCGAUGCCGGCGUCGAUAAGGAAUGCUACCUGGUUGAUCCUGCCAGUAGUCAUAUGCUUGUCUCAAAGAUUAAGCCAUGCAUGUGUAAGUAUGAACAAAUUCAGACUGUGAAACUGUGAAUGGCCUGCCAUGGUGGUGUCUUUGUCAAGAUGUUGCUUUUAGGAUUCCGCCGGCACCUUAUGAGAAAUCAAAGUUUUUGGGCUCCGGGGGGAGUGUGGUCACAAGGCUGAAACUUAAAGGAAUUGACGGAAGGGCACCAGCAUGAGUGGAGCCUGCGGCUUAAUUUGACUCAACACGGGGAAACUUACCAGGUCCAGACAUAGUAAGGAUUGACAUACAGAGAGCUCUUUCUUGAUUCUAUGGGCGGUGGUGCAUGGCCGUUCAUAGUUGGUGAAGCGAUUUGUCUGGUUAAUUCCGUUAACGAACGAGACCUCAGCCUGCUAACUAGCUAUGCGGAGGUAUCCCUUCGCGGCCAGCUUCUUAGAGGGACUACGGCCUUUUAGGCCGCGGAAGUUUGAGGCAAUAACAGGUCUGUGAUGCCCUUAUAUGUUCUGGGCCGCACGCGCGCUACACUGAUGUAUUCAACGAGUCUAUAGCCUUGGCCGACAGGCCCGGGUAAUCUUUGAAAUUUCAUCGUGAUGGGGAUAGAUCAUUGAAAUUGUUUGUCUUCAUUGAGGAAUUCCUAGUAAGCGCGAGUCAUCAGCUCGCGUUUACUACGUACCUUCCCUUUGUACACACCGCCCAUCGCUCCUACCGAUUGAAUGAUCCGGUGAAAUGUUCGGAUUGCAGCGACGUGGGCGGUUCGCUGCCCGCGACGUCGCGAGAAGUCCAUUGAACCUUAUCAUUUUGAGGAAGGAUUAGUCGUAGCAAGGUUUCCGUAGGUGAACCUGCGGAAG